rnacentral:rRNA from 1 species
UACGUAGGUGGCAAGCGUUGUCCGGAAUUAUUGGGCGUAAAGCGCGCGCAGGCGGUUCUAUAAGUCUGAUGUGAAAGCCCCCGGCUCAACCGGGGAGGGUCAUUGGAAACUGUAGGACUUGAGUACUGGAGAGAAGAGUGGAAUUCCACGUGUAGCGGUGAAAUGCGUAGAGAUGUGGAGGAACACCAGUGGCGAAGGCGACUCUUUGGCCAGAAACUGACGCUGAGGCGCGAAAGCGUGGGGAGCAAACAGG